rnacentral:rRNA from 1 species
AGAGUUUGAUCCUGGCUCAGGACGAACGCUGGCGGUGUGCUUCACACAUGCAAGUCGAACGGAGUAGCAAUACUCAGUGGCGGACGGGUGAGUAACACGUGGGAAUCUACCAUUAGGUGGGGAAUAACAGGCCGAAAGGACUGCUAAUGCCGCAUAUGUAGGCAUCUCGACAAAGAUGUUUAUGAAAGGAGUAAUCCGCCUUUUGAUGAGCCCGCGUCCGAUUAGCUAGUUGGUAGGGUAAAAGCCUACCAAGGCGACGAUCGGUAGGUGGUCUGAGAGGAUGAUCACCCACAAUGGGACUGAGACACGGCCCACACUCCUACGGGAGGCAGCAGUGGGGAAUUUUACGCAAUGGGGGAAACCCUGACGUAGCGACACCGCGUGAGCGAAGAAGCCCUUUGGGGUGUAAAGCUCUGUCAACAGGAACGAAACAAAUGACGGUACCUGUGGAGGAAGCAUCGGCUAACUACGUGCCAGCAGCCGCGGUAAGACGUAGGAUGCAAGCGUUGUCCGGAUUUAUUGGGCGUAAAGAGUUCGUAGGCGGUUUGUUAAGUCUGAUGUUAAAGACCGGGGCUCAACCUCGGAAAUGCAUUGGAUACUGGCAGACUGGAGUGCAGUAGAGGCUAGUGGAAUUCCCAGUGUAGCGGUGAAAUGCGUAGA